AUGAAUGGCCAUCUAUGGCCUUCGACCCUUCAAAACUGUGGAGGCAGAGCGUGCUUCGGCGCUCCGGCGCCGCCUUUAUGCUGUAAAAGUUUGUGUCUGAAACUAAAACAUAGUCUA
rnacentral:misc_RNA from 1 species